rnacentral:lncRNA from 1 species
GGCACGACAAAGUACCGCUAUGAGAGCUGUCGGUGUUUUGCUGUGCUUUUCUGUGUUUACGGGAGUCUUCAUGGAGGAUAAAGAAGCCCCACGUUUUCAAGCAUGUCUCGGGCUUGAGGUGUAUGAGGGGGCGGAGUCUGUCAUGCUGCCCUGUCAGGUACCAGAGGAUGUUUACCGGGACGCCACUGCAGUGGUUUGGGAUCGCAAGGACCUCAGCAUCCCAACAGUCCAUCUGCGUCUGCAGAGCGGGGAUGAUCUCACGAAACAGAAUGUUAUUUACUUCAACCGAACAUCGAUGAGAGCCAACGCUCUGCAGACUGGAGACCUCAGCCUCACUCUGAGGAACCCCAUAGUCAAUGACACCGGCACCUACACCUGCACCAUCCGCAAAGAUGGACAAGAUCAGGGCAAGACCCAGUUGCAACUGAAGGUGGCAGGUCAGUGCUGUCGAUAAAGGUCAGAGGUCAGAGUCAUACUCUGAGAAUCUGUUGGGUGAUGUUCAGGUUGUUUGUUUGUGUGGACAGAACGUCCUCCUCCUGGUCCCACUCCUCCUCCAGUCUGGCCCAAAGUUGUCUCGGGUGUCCUGGUUCCUGUGGUUCUCCUGGCUGUUGGCUUUGGUGUCUUCAUGUAUUUUAGAUAUAAAAAGUUAAAGAACAAAGAAGGUAUGUGUGUUAUUAGACCACUCCAUGAACAUCAGUCAGUGAUUACCACUC